GGGAAACUGCCUGAUGGAGGGGGAUAACUACUGGAAACGGUAGCUAAUACCGCAUAACGUCGCAAGACCAAAGAGGGGGACCUUCGGGCCUCUUGCCAUCGGAUGUGCCCAGAUGGGAUUAGCUUGUUGGUGGGGUAACGGCUCACCUAGGCGACGAUCCCUAGCUGGUCUGAGAGGAUGACCAGCCACACUGGAACUGAGACACGGUCCAGACUCCUACGGGAGGCAGCAGUGGGGAAUAUUGCACAAUGGGCGCAAGCCUGAUGCAGCCAUGCCGCGUGUAUGAAGAAGGCCUUCGGGUUGUAAAGUACUUUCAGCGGGGAGGAAGGGAGUAAAGUUAAUACCUUUGCUCAUUGACGUUACCCGCAGAAGAAGCACCGGCUAACUCCGUGCCAGCAGCCGUGGUAAUACGGAGGGUGCAAGCGUUAAUCGGAAUUACUGGGCGUAAAGCGCACGCAGGCGGUUUGUUAAGUCAGAUGUGAAAUCCCCGGGCUCAACCUGGGAACUGCAUCUGAUACUGGCAAGCUCGAGUCUCGUAGAGGGGGGUAGAAUUCCAGGUGUAGCGGUGAAAUGCGUAGAGAUCUGGAGGAAUACCGGUGGCGAAGGCGGCCCCCUGGACGAAGACUGACGCUCAGGUGCGAAAGCGUGGGGAGCAAACAGGAUUAGAUACCCUGGUAGUCCACGCCGUAAAC
rnacentral:rRNA from 1 species